rnacentral:rRNA from 1 species
AUACGUAUGGGGCGAGCGUUAUCCGGAAUUAUUGGGCGUAAAGAGUACGUAGGUGGUUUUUUAAGCGGGAGGUUUAAGGCUACGGCUUAACCGUAGUUCGCCUCUCGAACUGGAAGACUUGAGUGCAGGAGAGGAAAGCGGAAUUCCUAGUGUAGCGGUGAAAUGCGUAGAUAUUAGGAGGAACACCGGUGGCGAAGGCGGCUUUCUGGACUGUAACGGUCACGGAGGUACGAAAGCGUGGGGAGCAAACAGGAUUAGAUACCCUGGUAGUCCACGCCGUAAACGAUGAGCACUAGGUGUCGGGUCAAAAGGCUCGGUGCCGAAGUUAACGCAUUAAGUGCUCCGCCUGGGGAGUACGUACGCAAGUAUGAAACUCAAAGGAAUUGACGGGG